rnacentral:rRNA from 1 species
AAGUCGUAUACAUGGCAGUCCGACGAGAGACCUUUCGGGUCUCUAGUGGCGAACGGGUGAGUAACACGUAGGGAACCUGCCCGCGCACCGGGAAUACGCUCUGGAAACGGAGAACAAAUCCCGAUGUACAGGAAGGAGGCAUCUUCUUUCUGUGAAACAUCCUCUAGGGGAUGGGGCGCGGAUGGACCUGCGGUGCAUUAGUUGGUUGGCGGGGUAAAGGCCCACCAAGACGAUGAUGCAUAGCCGGCCUGAGAGGGCGGACGGCCACGUUGGGACUGAGACACGGCCCAGACUCCUGCGGGAGGCAGCAGUAGGGAAUUUUCGUCAAUGGGCGCAAGCCUGAACGAGCGAUGCCGCGUGAGUGAAGAAGGCCUUCGGGUCGUAAAGCUCUGUUGCGGGGGAAAAAAGGCAGCAUCAGGAAAUGGGUGCUGACUGAUGGUGCCCCGCCAGAAAGUCACGGCUAACUACGUGCCAGCAGCCGCGGUAAUACGUAGGUGGCGAGCGUUAUCCGGAAUGAUUGGGCGUAAAGGGUGCACAGGCGGUCCUGCAAGUCUGGAGUGAAACGCAUGAGCUCAACUCAUGCAUGGCUUUGGAAACUGGAGGACUGGAAACAGGAGAGGGCGGUGGAACUCCAUGUGUAGCGGUAAAACGCGUACAUUUAUGUAAUAACACCACUGUGAAAGCANACGCCUGGCCCGUUUGUUGACCUAACGUCCGAAUUCUGUNCCCCCCCCCCCCUUACCNCCCACU